AGCCAUGCGAGUCAUUGUAGCAAUACAAGGCGGACGGCUCAGUAACACGUAGUCAACCUAACUCGUGGACGUGGAUAACCUCGGGAAACUGAGAAUAAACCACGAUAGAUCAUAGUGCCUGGAAUGGCUUAUGGUCCAAACAGUUUACUGCCAUGGGAUGGGACUGCGGCCUAUCAGCUUGUUGGUGAGGUAAUGGCCCACCAAGGCGAUUACAGGUACGGGCUCUGAGAGGAGAAGCCCGGAGAUGGGUACUGAGACACGGACCCAGGCCCUAUGGGGCGCAGCAGGCGAGAAACCUUAGCAAUGUGCGAAAGCACGACUGGGUCAGUCCGAGUGAUUCCUGAUAAAGGAGUCUUUUGCUUGUCCUAAAAGCACAGGUGAAUAAGGGGUGGGCAAGUCUGGUGUCAGCCGCCGCGGUAAUACCAGCACCUCGAGUGGUCAGGACGUUUAUUGGGCCUAAAGCAUCCGUAGCCGGCUCUGCAAGUCUUCGGUUAAAUCCACCUGCUCAACAGAUGGGCUGCUGGAGAUACUACAGAGCUAGGGAGUGGGAGAGGCAGACGGUAUUCAGUGGGUAGGGGUAAAAUCCUCUGAUCCAUUGAGGACCACCAGUGGCGAAGGCGGUCUGCCAGAAACACGUUCGACGGUGAGGGAUGAAAGCUGGGGGGAGCAAACCGGAUUAGAUACCCGGGUAGUCCCAGCUGUAAACGAUGCAACUCGGUGAUGCAUUGGCUUAUGGCCAAUGCAGUGCCGCAGGAAGCCGUUAAGUUUGCCGCCUGGAAGUACGGACCGCAAGUCUGAAACUCAAA
rnacentral:rRNA from 1 species